GGUCGAUUGGCUCAGUGGUAGAGCACUCGCUUCACACGCGAGGGGUCGCUGGUUCGAACCCAGCAUCGACCACCA
rnacentral:tRNA from 2 species